rnacentral:tRNA from 1 species
GGUGAGAUACUCAAGUGGCCAACGAGGGCAGACUGUAAAUCUGCUACGAAAGUUUCGGAGGUUCGAAUCCUCCUCUCACCA